CGUAAGCGCUCAGCAUGCGCUGACAUAGCGCCGAGCGCACACAGUCCUGCUGGCUGAAACGAAUGAUUGCGAUCAUAUCGUCAUCUUCCUGGAACCGUUCCAGCGCAUCCGCCAACCCCGAUUUGACUCCGCGCAGCAAAUCACAUUGCGUCACGUCGCCGUUAACGAUGACCGUGACAUUCUCACCCAACCGCGUC
rnacentral:antisense_RNA from 1 species